GCAUUAUUGGUCCAGUGGUUAGGAUCCUUCUCGUAUGAAGAAGGGGCCCGCGUUCGAUUCGCGGAUAAUGCA
rnacentral:tRNA from 1 species